rnacentral:rRNA from 1 species
UACGUAGGGGGCAAGCGUUGUCCGGAAUCAUUGGGCGUAAAGCGCGCGUAGGCGGCCCUGUAAGUCCGUUGUGAAAGUCGAAGGCUCAACCUUCGAAAGCCGAUGGAUACUGCGGGGCUAGAGUCCGGAAGAGGCGAGUGGAAUUCCUGGUGUAGCGGUGGAAUGCGCAGAUAUCAGGAAGAACACCCGUGGCGAAGGCGGGUCUCUGGGCCGAUACUGACGCUGAGGAGCGAAAGCGUGGGGAGCGAACAGG